UGGACCUGAUAUCAGGCAAGAUUACCCGCUGAACUUAA
rnacentral:rRNA from 1 species